ACUCUAAAGGAAUCGCAAUACUUUCAGGCCCCAGAGGAGGAAAAUUUAUAAGCUCGGGGCUGGAGUUCAAAACAUAUUGGCAUAUCAAGAUAAUACAUGAAAGGAAUAGAAACAAGUUGACAAUGAAGUGUACCGUGAGGCUGACACGAAGGGAAAGGAUGGAAGAUACCAUAAGAGAACGCUUCAUGCCAACAUGAAUUAUGAUAUGUUUAUACCACGAUUUGAAUCCCUCAUAUCGGGCAAACUGGCGCCGUACCUAAGUACGCAGCGACAUGUUUUAAAGAGUAAUAAAAAGAGCAGGAAAAGGCUACAAGCUAAGUUCACAAAGGAUAAUGGAGAGAAUGAUAAGAUUCAAAGGAUAUUUCGGACGAGAACGACUAUUAUAACGAAAGUAUCAACGAUUGGUAGCCUGGGAAUUUUGAGAGAAAGAAGGAACGCAGUGUCUAUGAAUGAAAUAAAAGAGUUCAUCGGAUACUAGAAAAUAGUUCAUGGACCAUUAAUUAUACGGAGCAUGAGAGUAUACGCUAUGGAAUUAUAUGAACCAUCGACGUGAAGCGAUGCUCAAUCAUAUUUGUAAGGGAAUCCACACCGGAGAGCCAACAAGGAAUAACGAUUGACGAAACAGUAACAGAGAAGAGAUGAUCUGGGAAGGACAAGGAUAAUGAGUUGGCGCAGUGGAUUAGAAAACCCAUGAUACGGAACGAGGACUCAUAUAGAGACCGAGGAGUUCGAUUAUAAGGAAAAUAGGGUAAAAGAUAAGGAAUGGGCAUGAAGAAAAGGACAACUAUAAGAGGGACCCCCCGAAGUGUUAUAAGACCCCAUAAGACCAGUUGAACAUUCGAGGAUGAAUGUUCUAAAGGGAGGGGGAGGAUGUUAUAGCCCGUAUUUUGUACGUUCGGAUAAUUCAAGAUGAUUGUGAGAAGUUAAGGGCAAGGCUAUUUUUUAAAGUUAUUUUAAUGUACAAGUUGUUCAUUAGUAUGGAAAUAAUGAGAAAGGCUAAGGGUAAAAAGGGAAAUUCACAAGGUGGCCCAUGGUAAUAUUGUGAAAGGCUAGGGGCAAAAUGGGAAUUUCACAAAAUGUUCAAGAAAAUUCUUGAAGAAGGCCACUUUGGCCGUGUGGCAUAUAUAUAUAUAUAUAUAUAUAUAUAAAAUAUGGAAAAGUGAUGACAAAAUAAAAUAAUUAGUCAUCUUUAUUUUAAUAUUUAAGAAAUUUCAAGAAAGAGGGCAUGUGUUCACAUGGUAUUGGAAGGAGCUAUAUAUAUAUAUAUGUAGAGAGAUGACCAAAGCAAGAAAUAUUUUCAUCUUCAAAACUCAAGGAAACUUCAAGAAAAAUUAAAGAGCCAUUCGGCCAUGGCUAAGGAAAAUUGGCUCCCUGGAGUUGAUCAAGAAAAAAUAUUUUAUUCUAGUAUUCCAACCAAUUGGAACGUCCUCUUUAACAUGGAGUGGUUGUUGGAGCAAUAAAACCAUCUAUUUGUGCAAGUUCACAACCCUAGUCAAGCCAAGAAGCUAAGAGAAAAAGGUACACCCAGAUGAGUAGAAGUCGUUACAGAAGAUGUUCCAGCGGAGUUGGCAAGCUCCAUUUUCCCUGGAGUGUUGCCGAGUCAGAGUAUAUGUGCUAUGAUUUCUGAUUGAUGUUAGAGACUUUGCAGACAGAGUUGUGGGUAUAGAAUGUCAGUCUUGUAAGCAGUUCCGUCAGCCGAUGUGUCAUUUUUUGUGUUUUGUUAUAAAUUAUGAUUACAGACUUUGUUUAACUUGAGGACGAUGAAAAGAAUAUUUCUGAAAGUUGUACUAUGUAUUUCAUCUUUA